ACCUAAUAAAUUUAGCUUCUACACCAAAAAUUAAUCUUAAUUCAACAUCGAGGUCGCAAACUUAUUUAUCGAUAUGAACUCUCCAAAUAAUUUACGCUGUUAUCCCUAAGGUAAUUUAAUCUUAUAAUCUAAAAUUUAGGAUCAAAAAAACAUUAAUUUAUGUAAAAUAAAUAAAAAGUCAAAUUAAUUUUUAUAUCACCCCAACAAAAUUAAAUUUAAAAAAAUCAAAAAUAAAUAAACAAGAAAAUGAUUAAAUAAAUUUAAUAAAAUUCUAUAGGGUCUUCUCGUCCUAUAUAAAAAUUUAAACUAAAAGAUUCAAAAAUCAAAUUCAAAUUAUUAAUUAAAAAAAGCAAGUUUUUCAUCAAACCAUUCAUUCUAGCCUUCAAUUAAAAGACAAAUUAUUAUGCUACCUUAGUACAGUUAAAAUNCCGCAGCCAUUUAAAAAUCAUAGA
rnacentral:rRNA from 1 species